GAAUGAACAAAACAUGCUAAUGUGCACAGAAAUUGAUUUGAGUUUCUAGACCUGAUCUCUUUGAUGUCUUUUGGUUUUGAUUUGAGAGCAUGGUCUCAUAGCAAAACG